AGCAGCCGCGGUAAUUCCAGCUCCAAUAGCGUAUAUUAAAGUUGUUGCAGUUAAAAAGCUCGUAGUUGAGUUUCGGGAUCAAUAUAUCGGUCGUGCCUUGGUACGUACUGGUAUCAUUGGUUUCUCCUUUCUGACGAACCAUGAUGUCAUUAAUUUGGUGUUAUGGGAAGUUAGGACUGUUACUUUGAAAAAAUUAGAGUGUUUAAAGCAGGCUUUAGCUUGAAUACAUUAGCAUGGAAUAAUGAAAUAGGACGUUCGAACCUAUUUUGUUGGUUUCUUAGGAUCAACGUAAUGAUUAAUAGGGAUAGUUGGGGGCAUUAGUAUUCAAUUGUCAGAGGUGAAAUUCUUGGAUUUAUUGAAGACUAACUACUGCGAAAGCAUUUGCCAAGGAUGUUUUCAUUAAUCAAGAACGAAAGUUAGGGGAUCGAAGACGAUCAGAUACCGUCGUAGUCUUAACCAUAAACUAUGCCGACUAGGGAUCGGAUGAUGUUUAAUUUUUAAUGACUCAUUCGGCGCCUUA
rnacentral:rRNA from 1 species